GUAACACAAUUGGCAAUGUAUAGACCGAACAAAAACAUUCGCAUUAUUUAUUAAUAAUUUUACGGAGAUAUGCCACGACAAAGGAUGAUUAUAUGUGCACUACUUGCCGCACUAAAUUUCGCUCUUUUUGGCAACGUCUGUGCAGCAGAGAACAAGUAUGGAAAUAUCUCAGUGGUAGGACCAGCUUUUGUGGACAGGGAGGUUACACUGAAAGCGACACCGUUCUAUCAUUGGGGAUGUGACGUAGAAUUUAGAUACCUAAAAGACAAGGACACAACAUUCCAAACAAUGAUUGGGAUAAAUGUUAAAACAGAUUUGGAAGAUGGGUCGUUUCUUUUAAAAUGGAAGGCUUCAAAUGAAUAUAACGGAUCGAAUUUUAACGCUGGAUGUUCAACAAACAAAACAAUUAGAACAAACACGAUAGCUAUAUAUCUGAAAGAUACACCUGGGUACCCAGUUCUUGGUCCAAAGUUCUCUGACUUUAAUAUAACAGAAUGUAUUUAUGUUUAUGGAGGCUCCGACGUUUAUUGCAAAACUGAAAAAGGAACAGAGCCCGUACAAGUCCGACUUUUAAUAGGACAGAACUCAUUUGUUCUAGCUAAAAUCGAAGGGAAUAAAGGGUCGUACCGAUACCAAAACGUGUGUCAAGAAAUGGCCGGAAUGCAUAGACGGAAUGUGACAUGUCAGGUUUCUCAUGAAGCCUUUGAAACACCUUACGAAGAGCACGGCAUUCUAUGUAGCGUAGAGACAGGUAGCCUGCCUGUUCUAACAGUUCCUGAAUUCUUUCAUGGUGAAAACUCUACAUCUAUCUGUUAAGUGCGAAAUGCUAUCCCAGCUCCGACAAUAUAAAUAUACGUUGAUAAAGUCUUGGUGGGUGAUGUUCAACAAACUGAUACAUUUGAUGAAUCAUCUCAUACUUAUACAAGUUCAGCAAAGAGGACAAAGGCUAACAAAAUGUGGAAUGGAAAAGAGAUGUGCUGUACCAGAAAAAACAGAUAUGAUUUUGGUCAAAAACAAGUCUUAGUAUGCAAAAAUAUCAGUAUGAAAUAUCCGUCGUCGGAGAUUUCGAUGUCUGUAAACAAAAUAUAACAAACACAAAAAAAAAAAGUAUCACGACACGUUUUAUGUAUGUUUAUUACACGUACUUGGAGAAUGUAUCAAUCACCAGCAGAAUAUACUUGAAACCCUCGUUCCAGUCAGCGAAUUUUGUCAUAUCAUCAAGUCCGCCAUCCAUAAGUCAUCUUUCCCAGCGCUAACUACAUGAUUUCUCUGAAAUCUUCUUCUGACUGGUUUAUGUAGACUGUACGAUUCUUGAUCAUGCAAGAAUUUACGUAUUCUAUGCAUACCGAUAUGGAAUUUGCCUUCAUUUUUCACCACUUUAUAUAGUUUCUGUGGUCCGGCAAAUCCACCGGGGUGUUUUGGGUUAUAGUAUAUGGUUUUUAAAUAAUCCUCCACCGGAGCCAUGUUUACUGUUCGAUGUCCACAACACAAAUAAUCAGUCAUA